GGCGGCGUGCUUAACACAUGCAAGUCGAACGAUGAAGCCCUUCGGGGUGGAUUAGUGGCGAACGGGUGAGUAACACGUGGGCAAUCUGCCCUUCACUCUGGGACAAGCCCUGGAAACGGGGUCUAAUACCGGAUAUUCACUCCUGCAGGCAUCUGCGGGGGUUCGAAAGCUCCGGCGGUGAAGGAUGAGCCCGCGGCCUAUCAGCUUGUUGGUGAGGUAAUGGCUCACCAAGGCGACGACGGGUAGCCGGCCUGAGAGGGCGACCGGCCACACUGGGACUGAGACACGGCCCAGACUCCUACGGGAGGCAGCAGUGGGGAAUAUUGCACAAUGGGCGAAAGCCUGAUGCAGCGACGCCGCGUGAGGGAUGACGGCCUUCGGGUUGUAAACCUCUUUCAGCAGGGAAGAAGCGAGAGUGACGGUACCUGCAGAAGAAGCGCCGGCUAACUACGUGCCAGCAGCCGCGGUAAUACGUAGGGCGCAAGCGUUGUCCGGAAUUAUUGGGCGUAAAGAGCUCGUAGGCGGCUUGUCACGUCGGGUGUGAAAGCCCGGGGCUUAACCCCGGGUCUGCAUUCGAUACGGGCUAGCUAGAGUGUGGUAGGGGAGAUCGGAAUUCCUGGUGUAGCGGUGAAAUGCGCAGAUAUCAGGAGGAACACCGGUGGCGAAGGCGGAUCUCUGGGCCAUUACUGACGCUGAGGAGCGAAAGCGUGGGGAGCGAACAGGAUUAGAUACCCUGGUAGUCCACGCCGUAAACGGUGGGAACUAGGUGUUGGCGACAUUCCACGUCGUCGGUGCCGCAGCUAACGCAUUAAGUUCCCCGCCUGGGGAGUACGGCCGC
rnacentral:rRNA from 1 species